GAUGAAGAACGUAGCGAAAUGCGAUAAGUAGUGUGAAUUGCAGAAUUCAGUGAAUCAUCGAAUCUUUGAACGCACAUUGCGCCCCUUGGUAUUCCAUGGGGCAUGCCUGUUCGAGCGUCAUUUGUACCUUCAAGCUUUGCUUGGUGUUGGGUGUUUGUCCAUUCUCUUGCAGAGGGACUCGCCUUAAAGUAAUUGGCAGCCAGUGUUUUGGUUUUGAAGCGCAGCACAAGUCGCGAUUCAAAGCUAUACACCCGCUUCCACAAGCCUUUUUCACUUUUGACCUCGGAUCAGGUAGGGAUACCCGCUGAACUUAAGCAUAUCAAUAAGCGGAGGA
rnacentral:misc_RNA from 1 species